CCGAGCUGUGUGCCGAGGCUGAGGAGCUCCGGGCCCGCCUGACCGCCAAGAAGCAGGAAUUAGAAGAGAUCUGCCAUGACCUAGAGGCCAGGGUGGAGGAGGAGGAGGAGCGCUGCCAGCACCUGCAGGCGGAGAAGAAGAAGAUGCAGCAGAACAUCCAGGAGCUUGAGGAGCAGCUGGAGGAGGAGGAGAGCGCCCGGCAGAAGCUGCAGCUGGAGAAGGUGACCACCGAGGCGAAGCUGAAAAAGCUGGAGGAGGAGCAGAUCAUCCUGGAGGACCAGAACUGCAAGCUGGCCAAGGAAAAGAAACUGCUGGAAGACAGAAUAGCUGAGUUCACCACCAACCUCACAGAAGAGGAGGAGAAAUCUAAGAGCCUCGCCAAGCUCAAGAACAAGCAUGAGGCAAUGAUCACUGACUUGGAAGAGCGCCUCCGCAGGGAGGAGAAGCAGCGACAGGAGCUGGAGAAGACCCGCCGGAAGCUGGAGGGAGACUCCACAGACCUCAGCGACCAGAUCGCCGAGCUCCAGGCCCAGAUCGCGGAGCUCAAGAUGCAGCUGGCCAAGAAAGAGGAGGAGCUCCAGGCCGCCCUGGCCAGAGUGGAAGAGGAAGCUGCCCAGAAGAACAUGGCCCUCAAGAAGAUCCGGGAGCUGGAAUCUCAGAUCUCUGAACUCCAGGAAGACCUGGAGUCUGAGCGUGCUUCCAGGAAUAAAGCUGAGAAGCAGAAACGGGACCUUGGGGAAGAGCUAGAGGCUCUGAAAACAGAGUUGGAGGACACGCUGGAUUCCACAGCUGCCCAGCAGGAGCUCAGGUCAAAACGUGAGCAGGAGGUGAACAUCCUGAAGAAGACCCUGGAGGAGGAGGCCAAGACCCACGAGGCCCAGAUCCAGGAGAUGAGGCAGAAGCACUCACAGGCCGUGGAGGAGCUGGCGGAGCAGCUGGAGCAGACGAAGCGGGUGAAAGCAAACCUCGAGAAGGCAAAGCAGACUCUGGAGAACGAGCGGGGGGAGCUGGCCAACGAGGUGAAGGUGCUGCUGCAGGGCAAAGGGGACUCGGAGCACAAGCGCAAGAAAGUGGAGGCGCAGCUGCAGGAGCUGCAGGUCAAGUUCAACGAGGGAGAGCGCGUGCGCACAGAGCUGGCCGACAAGGUCACCAAGCUGCAGGUGGAGCUGGACAACGUGACCGGGCUUCUCAGCCAGUCCGACAGCAAGUCCAGCAAGCUCACCAAGGACUUCUCCGCGCUGGAGUCCCAGCUGCAGGACACUCAGGAGCUGCUGCAGGAGGAGAACCGGCAGAAGCUGAGCCUGAGCACCAAGCUCAAGCAGGUGGAGGACGAGAAGAAUUCCUUCCGGGAGCAGCUGGAGGAGGAGGAGGAGGCCAAGCACAACCUGGAGAAGCAGAUCGCCACCCUCCAUGCCCAGGUGGCCGACAUG
rnacentral:lncRNA from 1 species